AGGAAGGAUAUUCAAUCAGAAAAAUAUUGAAAGUUCAAAGUUUGAAGAGGCUUUAGUAAAUUAAAUCAAUAUUUGCUUAAAUGAUCAUAUAUACAUGCAUAAAAACAUUAUUAAAAAUCCAUUUAUUCAUUCGUUGGUAGUUUCCAGGGUAUUUGAAAGUAGGUUCUUAUUUAUUUGCACUCCAGAUGGCUUUAUUUCAUUUGUUAAUAAUGUGGGCUUAGGCAGAAUCACUCCAACCCAAAUUAAUGUACUCUCGGGCGUAAUAAAAAAAAGUAAUAUCUGGAUGUGCUGUAUUAACUGACAAAGGAUAAUUAAAAAUGAGCCACCAAAGCUGUUGUAUAGUGGGUUGUAGAAACACUAGCAGAAAAAGUGACUGCAAAUUCUAUACAUUUUCUACAGCUAAGUGGAAAGAAAAUCAAAGGGAAAAGCGGA